CACCACUCUACGAUUCAGGUACAUACUUUGCACACUUUACUUUACACAUACACAUAUAUCUUGGAUUAUGCAGAAUAUUGUCUCCGACAUGAUAAAUUAAAAAGAUUAAAAUGUUUUUAAUCAUGAUUAAUCUCACUCUGUGAUAUUUCCUGAAAGCUUGCAAUCAUUUUAAAACCCUGUGUUACUUAAGUCAUUAUGGAAUGCGAGAUGGUAGAGUAUGAGUACCUUAUUCUUGAUAUCAUUGCUGCUUGGAGAAUUUAUUUUAAAAACAUUUAAAAAUUCUAGCUACCAUCCUCAGUGUUUUAUAUGCUUAAUAAAACUGAAAAUAUUAAUAUGAUAAUUAGAAAAGCUAUCUACUCUGUAUUGAGUUUGUUCAAAAUGAGUUAGACCCUUGUUGAGAGAUUUAUCAUGCUCCUAAGAUCAAGACAUUUAUUCAGAAAGAUUCACUCUUCCGAAGUAUUAUUGCAUUAGAGGCAUGGGCUAUGCAAAAAUAAGGAUAUUUCGAGGAAAUAAAAAGGAGCAAGUGCUCGAUAACCUCGUAGAAAGAAAAAAUGGUCAAGUGUCCGGCAGUAGAAUUAGGGAUACCUCGGUAUCCACUUAAAAAAAAGAGAAAGAAGAAAAAUGAUAGCCCAUGGUCCCUCUAAUAAGCAAUAUGCCAGCAAGAGUUGACAAAUUUUAAAUUUCCAAAGUCUUUGAUCUAAGAGUAUGCCAUUCCUCUCCUCGGAUCCUGUUUUGAUCAGGCAAGAAAUGCAGAGUAAGUAUGCUUGAGAAUUUUUGCAAAUUAAAAUAGCCUCAGUGAAAUAUAAAAGAUAAUGAGUGACCUGAGAGAACCUAUGAGGAUAAAGGUAUGCUAAAGUUCUUUUCAAAAAAAUAUAUACAAAAACUCCAAGUAAUAGGAUUGAGAAGAAAGGACCUCUACUCUUAACCAUAUAUUUCCCUGACUACAGUACACAGUGAAUUUUUACACCCUGCAGGUAUGAAGAAAAUGCUUUACAAUGUUUUACCCCAG
rnacentral:lncRNA from 1 species